rnacentral:tRNA from 1 species
CUCUAGUAGCUUAAACUCAUAAAGCAUUGUUCUUGUAAACCAAAGCUGGGCCACCCCUAGAGC